GUUUGUUUCUUUACCACGCACAGAAAGUGCUAGAGUUUUCUUCUUCUCCAAAGAUGAUGAAUGCCUAAGAGGUAAUUGCCUACUAGGAAUCUGGACUUUUACACCUUACCAAAACAUUAGCCCCAUGACAGGUUACUUAGACAUUUUGGAUCCUUUCAGAGGGCCCAAAGUUAUUUUGUAGAUCAGUAGAGUUCAGUGAAGAAAAAGGGUUGGGAAGACUGACGUAGAUUAUUGCUUGAGGAGCAGCUACUUAACUGUAUGUAAAGGAUGUAUUUAAGAGAAGGAGUGAAUUUAGAGACUUCUCCUAAUAGUGGAUUCAGAAACUUCUCUGAAGAAUUUGUUAGAUUUUCAUUUUUUCCCGGAAUGCUGAAGGAAGCAUAGGGACACCAAAUAGAAAUGCAAGGAAACCAAUAAAGUCUUUAGUGAAUAAAACGUGCCAUGUUUGUUCCUUGAAGAAGUCGCCAAACAAUGUUACUUCCAAAACCCUUUCAAAGAUCUAAGAGGAAAAAGUAUUGGCAAACCCUGUUCGGCAGUGUUUCCAAGCUGGGGGUGAUGGCCUUGGGUGCUGGGGAGCCACGGGAAGGCUCCAGUCCUGACUGUCCGGCCAGGCUGGGGCCAUUGAGCUCCAGCUCAUCCCUGGCGGCUCUAAGGGCAAGCAGAAAUGGCAAAGGCCCCCAAGACCCGAUCCAGGCCAGGCCUGGGCA